GCAAGGGAACGGAACGGAAGGGGAGGGAAGCGGGAGAGGCGCUGGGUUCCCCGGGGCAGGAAGCGGCGGCCGGGGGCUCCGGGAAGGGCCCGGGUGAGGGGCGCCUCCGGGUCCCGGCAGCCAUGCCCUUGUCUCCCUCCCGGGCACGGAGCCGGGGCCCGGCGGGGCGGCGAAGCGCGGCGAGGGACCGGGAGCGGGAGCGGCAGCACCGAGCCCAGCCUCACAGACUUUCUUACGGCUCCAGCUCUGCGUUGUUUCAGCUCCAGCCCUGCAGUGUUUAGCUCAGCCUCAGCUCUACAUCUUCCUGCUGCCUCCGUGUUCUCACAGCAGCUCUGGGGGCUGUUGAUAAGAGGGGAGUUUGGCCUGGUGCAUGCUGGCAUCCCAUGUUUCAGGGGCAAAUAAAACCAGACCCCCACCUCUGCUUGUUUUCAGGCCCAGAAACACAGCACUCUGGGGACUUUUGGAGCAGCUGAACCCCAGGACUGAGCUGGGCUGUUCAGCCCCAACCACAGAACUUCAUCCUCCUUUGGGGGGCUGGAAACACCCUUGAGGCUGCUGCUGUGGCCCAUGUGUGAAGGGAAAGGGGGGCCACAGCCCAGGGAGUGCUUGGGAACUGCGGGCACCCACCCAGACAGGGAAAGCUUUAUUGCACUUUAUUCCACUUGAUUUUUCAGUUAUUGUUAUGCAUUACACUUCUUGUAAUAAACCAACACAAUAGCUUUAUUAGCA